GCGGGCAUGGCUCAGGGGUAGAGCGUCAGCUUCCCAAGCUGAGAGUCGCGGGUUCGAAUCCCGUUGCCCGCUCCA
rnacentral:tRNA from 1 species